UGGGGGAAUAUUGCACAAUGGGCGAAAGCCUGAUGCAGCAACGCCGCGUGAGUGAUGAAGGUCUUCGGAUUGUAAAGCUCUGUCUUUUGGGACGAUAAUGACGGUACCAAAGGAGGAAGCCACGGCUAACUACGUGCCAGCAGCCGCGGUAAUACGUAGGUGGCAAGCGUUGUCCGGAUUUACUGGGCGUAAAGGGUGCGUAGGCGGAUGUUUAAGUGAGAUG
rnacentral:rRNA from 1 species